AACGGUCUAUACCUGCGGUACCUGCGGAGGGAUCAUCAAAGGAAAUCUUUUAUACAAGAAGUGUUGAGGGGGGGGGAGAGGUUGGUUGGUUGGAUGCCACCAGCAGCCCUCUUGCACUUCAACAAACAAACAAACGAUCGCAACUAGUAGAGCAGAAAGUAGAUAGAUAGAUGGAUGGAGGGGGGUGUUAGUAAAAGUGUUUGCCUGAUAAUCAGAUUGGAAUGGAUGAAUUGGAUGGAA
rnacentral:misc_RNA from 1 species